GUGAAUCAUCAAAUCUUUGAACGCAAAUUGCACUCUCUGGUAUUCCGGUGAGUAUGCCUGUUUGAGGGUCAGUUUAAAUAAAAAUCUGUGUGUUUGCGGCCUUGCGUGGUGACGCACCGGAUUUGGGUCGCCACUCCUUCGGUUAAGUGACCUAAAAUUUUGCAUGAUUUUUUUCGAACGUAUUUAAUUGCUUUUUCGUACGU
rnacentral:misc_RNA from 1 species